UACGUAGGGUGCAAGCGUUGUCCGGAAUUAUUGGGCGUAAAGAGCUCGUAGGCGGUUUGUCGCGUCUGCUGUGAAAACGCGAGGCUCAACCUCGCGCCUGCAGUGGGUACGGGCAGACUAGAGUGCGGUAGGGGAGAUUGGAAUUCCUGGUGUAGCGGUGGAAUGCGCAGAUAUCAGGAGGAACACCAGUGGCGAAAGCGCUUCACUGGCCGGUUACUGACACUGAGCUGCGAAAGCAAGGGGAGCAAACAGG
rnacentral:rRNA from 1 species